GGUUCCAUGGUGUAACGAUUAGCACUCUGGACUCUGAAUCCAGCAAUCCAAGUUCAAAUCUAGGCGGAAACU
rnacentral:tRNA from 1 species